CCAAAUUCCCCGAUUUCAUUUUCCCCAAAUUCCCAACUGGACUAUCCAACGCCGCUGUCGUCACAAUCGUCUCCACUCCGGUGGUCACUCUAUCAUCCGCUUCCUCUAUUCACGGACUCUAUUCACGGUUAGUUUCGCUCAUCUUUAUUCACGGACUACAUUUUUGUUUCUAUGGUUAAUUUUUAAUUUGUUUCUAUGUUUAAUUUUUAAGCAUUACUUUCCUCUGUCGCCCGCUUCCUCUAUUCACGGACUCCAUUUUCAGGAAUUGAAGGUCAGUUUCGCUCAUCUCUGGAUUAAUUUAGUAAAGUUUGUCUCUUUUUUUCUUUGAUAUUUAAUUUUUUGGGUUUGCUUUGUAUAAUUUUUUCUUAUUGAAAUUAUCUGUUUCUGGAAAUGGGUUUAUUGUGAAGUUUUAGUCUUAUUAUUGUUGUUGUUAUUUGGGGGAGUAUGUCAAUAUUUCUGGAAUGAAUACGCUCUAGUUAGUUCAUUUUGUGAGAACUGAACUUGUUAAGUUAAUUUAUUUUAGUAAUCCAAUAAUUAGGGUUCAUUUUUAAGCAUUUUUUUUAGAAAUUAUUAAUGAUGUGUUCAAAAUGGGAAUUUGGAAGUCUAAUUUCAGAUAGUCUAAAAUGAUGUGUUUUAUAUCUGUAAGCACAAAAUAAAAAAGAUUUAAGUUAUGAAUUUGUUAUGAAUUGAUAUUAUUAGGUAGCCUUUCCCCCUUUAAAUAUUAUUUAAAUUUCUCAAUACAAUGGUGUAUAUCAACAGUAUUCAGGUCCCAAUAUCAUCAAGUAAGAUACCUAUUUCUCCUACAUAUGGUUUUCAAAAAUUUCAAUUUAUUAUUAAUUUCGUAAACUGCACAAGUAUAUAAGAGAUUUGAAUGUGAAACUGACAUUUAUCAGUCAAGAGUUCCAAGGUACUAAAUAAAGACAAGGUAGCCAGUGGUUGAAUACUUUACAAUAAUGCAUUUUGAAUGAAAUUGAAAAUAACCAAAUGCUUGAUUUGCAUAAUGCAAGGAAAUAAGUAGCAGACCUUCAUGUUUUGGUUAUUGAGAAUGGUUUAUUUUUCUAAUCAAGUUCAUAUUUGAAUUGUUUUCUCCUUUGUUUCCAAGGAAUUAUUUUCAUUUUUUUAGUUGACAAACAUCUUUUUGCUCUUUAUUAUUCAUUUCUUUUUUAAAAGUUCUUUUGAAAAUGAAAACAGAAAAUUGGUUUGGUUUUGUCAAUAAAAAAUAGCCUUAGUUUUUAGAGAGCAAGUAUUUUUUUGGUUUUCCUUUAAAAAGACUUUUAGUAACAAUUCUGAUUAUAAUUUCUUUGUUCUUAACCAACUAUUUUAUUCGGUACUGUCUUCCUUUUGUUGUUCUGUUAGUGGUUAAUGAUGGCACAUUCAUCCCUAGCUUUCUUAGUACAUAAAGUUUUAUGUAGUUCCAUCAUAUGCUGCAUAUACAUAGUAGUAUCUUUCUUGCUUUUACUGAGACCUUAUAACUCAUGAAUUUUGUUUGUAAAAGAAAGGAACCUUUCUGUUAAACAGAGUUAGUUGUCUAAAUGGUAUUGAUUUUUUCUCUUUUUCUUUUGAAAGAUGAAAUGUCUAUGGUGCAGGGGGAACCUUCAGCUAUGUAAUUGAUAGAAUUAUUAGCAGAAAAUUGGCUGGAUAAUGAUAAAAUACUCCCUUCCUCUUAAUCGCAUUAUUUACUGCAUAUAAAUGUAUUUAAUCUGUUUAAUGUGAAUAAAUUAUCGAUUUUAUAUUUGAUUAAUUAAAUCGAAUUUAGUUUGAUGUUAAUGAUUAAGAAUUUGUCUAUAUUCAAAUAAAUGAUCGAUUUAUCAAAUAUAGGCUAUUUAAUCUAUAUUAUUUUGCCAAAUAUAUUUUUUUCAUCCGCCAACUAAAAGUCUUAAAUUUUUUUAAAUUUACUUAUUUUAAAAAUAUAGACAAAUUAAUUAUAUUUUAACUUCUUCCCCGAGUAAUACAAGUAAAGCAAAAUCAAAAUUACUCAAUAAUAAAAAAUAAGAUAAAUUAUAUCCAUCACAAAAUUAUUAGUAAAAGCUACAAAAUGAUCUUUGAAUUAUUCGAAAAUUAAAACUUAUAUUUUAAAUUAAUAUAUAAUUUACAUAACUUACAUAACUUAAUAACUUACAUAAUACAUAAAUAUAUAUCAUAUCAGAACUUACAUAACUUACAUAAUUUAAUAACUUACAUAACUUAAUAACUUACAUAACUUACAUAACUUAUACAUAAUUUAAUAACUUUCAUAACUUAAUUAUACUUGUAAAUAAACACCCUACUCGUGUAAUUUAUUGUCAACUUUAGACUUCAAGAAUUAAGAAAUGGACCAGUCUUGGAUGAAUUUGUCAAGGGUAAGCGGCGACUAUCGAAAUGGAGUACAAACUUUUCUAAACUUUGCAUUUCAAAAUGCAAGCCAAGAGAAUAUGAUUCUUUGCCUGUGUAAGAAGUGUGGCAACAUCAAUUUGCAUUUUUGUGAAGUUGUCUAUGAGCAUCUAAUUGUUGAUGGGUUUAUUCGGGGGUAUAAAAAAUGGCUUUUCCAUGGAGAAUGCACACCUAGUACUUCCUAUUCAACGAUUAAUCCGGGUUAUCCUCGUAGUGCUUACCAUCAGUCUGUUAGAGAAGAUGACAUGGAAGGUAUGUUGCGGGAUGCAUUUAACAUGCGCAGUCAUGGUUUGCAAUCGUUUCCACCCGACUUUGUUGCAUCAGAUGAUUGUAAUCUUGGUGGAAAUGCUUUUAUUGAAACGGAAAGAAGUGUACCUGAUGAAGAGCCGAAUGGAGAAGUGGCAAAGUUCUACACACUACUUAAUGAAAUGAAUGAAGAACUUUAUGAGGGAUCAAAAAUUUCAAAAAUAUCCUUCUGUAUUCGUCUUUUUCAGUUAAAGUGUUUCGGAGGGUGGACCAGAAACUCUUUGACAAUGCUGUUAGAGUUUUUGAGAGAUAUGUUUUUGUUUGCAAAAAUCCGUCAUUCAUGCAAAUAUAUGAAGAAACUGAUAAAAUAUUUAGGCCUUGGGUACAACAAAAUUCAUAGUUUCCCAAAUGACUGCAUGUUGUAUUGGGCGAUCAGGAAAACCAACAAUGUUGUCAUGUAUGCGGUCAAUCCUGUUGGAUGAAUAAAAAUACAAAAUAUGGUAAUGAGGAUGAAAAUGAUACACAGUAAAGGAAAAAGCCAAUUAAGAUUUUACGGUAUUUUCUGCUAAUACCAAGGCUUCAAAGGCUUUUCAUUUCGUCGAAGGUAGCCGAUUCUAUGACGUGGCACCAUGAUGGACGAACUGAUGAUGGAUUGUUAAGUCAUCCUGCGGAUUCUUUAGCUUGGAAAUCAUUUGAUAGUAAAUUUCCAAGCUUUGCAAUCAAUCAUCAAAGUGUGAGGCUUGGGCUAACAUCUGAUGGAUUUAAUCCUUACAAAAUCAUGAGCACUGCGUACAGUACUUGGCCUGUAGUGCUUGUUCCUUACAAUUUGUUUCCAUGGAUAUGCAUGAAGAAAUCUUCCUUUAUCUUAUCUAUGAUUAUCCUCGGAGAGCAAGGUCCCAAAAAUGAUAUUGACAUUUAUUUUCAGCGACUUAUUGAAGAGUUAAAACAAUUAUAGGCUUGUGUUGAGACAUAUGAUGUACUAAGAAAGGAGAACUUUAAUUUACGUGCAGCUUUGAUGUGGACUAUUAAUGAUUUCCCAGCUUAUGCCAAUUUAUCUGGUUGGAGUACCAAGGGACGUUAUGCUUGUCCUUGUUGUGCUGAGGAAACAUGUUCGCAAUGGUUAUAUAAUGGGAAGAAGUUCUCUUACAUGGGGCAUCAUCGGUGGUUACCGGGAAAUCAUAGAUUUAGAUUUCAGAGUUCUUUGUUUGACGGUACUUAAGAGUUCAGAGAAGCUCCUUCGCAGACCGGUGGAUCUGAAAUCUUGUUCAUGUUGAAGGAUAUAAAUUUCAGUUAUGGGAAGAUGAAUCAACCACCCAACACGUAAAGAAAUAGAAGAUCAAGGGAUGAAUCUGGUGAAGAGGAUGAUCCUAAUGAGGCGGACUUAUGGAAAAAAAAAGUAUUUUUUUGAGUUGCAUUAUUAGGAGCAUCACAUUUUACGAAACAAUCAUGAUGUCAUGCACAUUGAGAAAAAUGUUUGCAAGAACAUCAUUGGGACAAUUUUGAAUGUCGAUGGAAAAUCAAAAGACAAUCUUCAGAGUCGACUUGAUUUAGUCCACGUGGGAAUUCGACGUGAUCUUCAUCCCCAAGCACUUUCGAAUGGGAAAUAUCGGUUGUCGCCUUCUAUUUUUUCAAUGUUGAAGACGAAGAAAGAAGUAUUCUGCAUGGUGUUGAAGGAUAUAAAGGUCCUGGAUGUGUAUGCAUCAAAUAUAUCUUAAUGUGUGAAUCUUAAAGAUCGAAGACUGUAUGCCUUAAAAUCACAUGACUAUCACAUAUUGAUGUAAGAUUUACUGCUAGUUGCUAUGCGGUGUUGUAUGUCUAAAAAGGUGACGUCUUGUAUAAUUGAACUAUCCAAUAUAAUGAAAGCCAUUUGUGGAAAAGUUUUGGAUGUUCAAGAACUUGAGACACUAUAAGAUCGAGCCCCAUUGACUUUAUGCAAUUUGGAGAAGAUCUUCCUACCUUCAUUCUUCACUAUUAUGGUACACUUGCUAAUCCAACUUCCUCAUGAAGCAAUACUUGGUGGACCCGUUUUCUAUCGAUGGAUGUAUCCCAUAGAAAUGUGUUAAUUUAUUUGUAAAUUAUUCAUUCAUUCACCACUAUGCCUUUAGUUACAACUUUUGAUAAUGUUGUAUAUCGUGUUUAGGUUCCUAUCCAAAUUGAAGUCUUAUUGCCGCAAUAAGCGUUAUCCAGAAGGCUCAAUUGCUGAAGGCUACUUGGCUGAGGAGUGUAUGACUUUCUGUUCUAGAUAUUUUGAAGAUGUUGAAACAAGAAUGAACAGACCAAGUAGAAAUGCUUGGCUCACUGAUCAUAACUUGGCCGAAACUUAUUUAUUUCAAAGUUAUGGAGAACCAAUCGACAAAGUUGAAAUUUUAGAAUUAGAUGAUAGAUCGUGGGUACAAGCACAUUGAUAUGUUCUUUUUCAUCACGAUUCAAUGGAACCAUUACGCAAGUAAGUUCUAGAAUUUGAUAAAUAUUCAUCAAUUAUAAUUUGUUUAUCUUCUAACAAAGUAAACCUCUUUUUAACAUAAAUUUUGAUUGUGUUCUCUAACCAGAAUUCGGCUCUUUACGGAUCAUCCUCAGCUGUAGCUCUAAAUUCCUUAGCCCUAUAUUUAUGAAUUUUAUCAAUUGGUGGCUUACUAACUCACAGUGGUUCCAGACCUUGAGGAACUACAGGGAUUGAUUGGGAACUAGGUGGUGGUGGAGGUUGUUGAGCUGCCAAUGCCAUUUGUACGAACUUGGUAAACCAUUCAUUCAUUAUAUGGAAGAAGGAUUCAUUACCUCUCUUCCUCAGCCCUCAGAUACGGGCCUAGUGCCACUUGACGUUGCUCAUGAAUGGAGACUUGCUCCUUGCUCUCAACUUUAUUGGUGUCAGGUUGGUUGGAUGUCAUAGCUAUAUGAAAGCAUAAUUUUAAAAUGAGUCAGGAGUUAUCACACUAUCACAAGUCAUAUAAUGACAUAUAUUUCUAGACUCGUACACGCUACGUUUAGCCUGAAAAUUGACUAAAUUGUAGCUCUGAUACCACUAAAUUUAACACAUUAGAAAUGGUUCAAGACUAAAUCGAAACCAUAUUAAAUUUCAUCGAAAAGAUAGAAUUUUUCACACUACAGGUGUAACAGCCCAAUUUUGACCCUAAUCAUAACAGUGAUUUUGAGACCACAAAUCUGAGUCCAAAAAAUAUUUUAAAAUUAUUUUCUAUGUUUAUUAUGUGUGAAUUUACUUGUAUGAAAUUUUCGUGCUUUAAUUUCGUCGUUUGAGUGUCCAAUUAAAUAAAAGGAUUAAAUCGCGUAAAAUAAAAAUUAGGUGGUUAUUUCUAAAAGGGAUGAAUAGUGGUUGUCUUUAUAAAAUGGAGGUUUUAUGUGGCAAUUAGGCCAUUUUACUGUUAGUGGACGGCAUUAGGUGAUAAUAUAUAGUUUUUAUAUUAUUAAUAUUAUUCAUAAAUGUUAUAAUAAUGUAUAUUAUAUUAUUAUGAUAUAAUAAAACAUUAUAAGCCAUUAUCACUUUUUUCCUUCAACUUUUAUCAUCGAAACUAAACAAAAGAAAAAGAAAGAAAAAAACCUAGCUACAUUCGGCCAUAUUGAAGUUUGAUUAAAGUUAGUUAUUUGUUCGAUUUUUGAUAAUUUUUAUGUUUUUGAGAUCGUUGCUUCGAGUACUAUCCGACCCAUGCUAGAAUUUUUGAUUUUGAUGAAUAUUUUAAGUUAUUCCAUUGAUGAAUAAUUGUGUUUUGUGAUGUUUGAUGAUGAAUUAUGAAAUAUAUGUUUUUUAUAUAAAUGUUCUGUAUUGAAAUUUUUGAUGAUUUUGAGUAAUUAGGGCUAAAUUGCAAAAAUAAUAAAUUGAGGGACUAAAAUGUGAAACAAAUGAAAUGCAUGGACUUGUAUGAAUACAAGGAAGAUUCGGCCUAACUAUGUUAUUGUGAGAUUUUGCGUAUUUUGUGUUUGGUGAAAUUUGGACUAAAAUGUAUAAAGUGUAAAAUGUCAGGGGCAAAAUUGUAAUUCACCCAUUUAUGUGUUUUUGGACUAAGUUGAAUGGAAUUAUAUUUAAAUUAUUUUAUUUGGAAUAAAUUUAGAUCAAGAACCAAAGAAAUAAGAGUUGGAUCGCAGAAAAACCAAAGUCAUUGAUUACUCAUCCUGUUCCGAUUUUCAUCAUCGUGUAUAAGAAAAUAAACUUCAUUAAAUUAGAGUGUAUAUGAAUUUUAUAUGUUGAAUUUUAUUGUAUGAAUUUUCAUAUUAAUAGUCAAAUGUAUAAAUGCUUGUGAGAUUUAACUGAGAUACGACGUUUGAAAAGCUUAGUAUGAACCUUAAAGAAUAAUUAGGAUUUCCUAUAUAUGAAUUAUGUGUAAGACCGACUUUGUAUUAGUGAUAUUCGGGCUCUGUCCCUAGCAGGCUUUAUGCCAGUGAAUUAUAGCAGGCUUUAUGCCUAGCAGGCUUCAUGCCGGUGUACCAUAUCAGCUUUAUACCUAGCAGGCUUCGUGCCGGUGUAUCAUAUCUGGCUUUGUGCCUAGAACGCUUUAUGCCAGUGUAUUUUAAUAAGCUUUAUACCUCACAGGCUUUAUGCUGAUGUGGUAUCGAAUGUGAUUAAUGAGUUAAAAUGAUCCGGUAUGUGAUGUUUAAUUACCUAUUUGAUAAUUAGGUAAGUAAGUUUCUUUGAUAUAUAACAAAAAUAAUACAUAAUAUUGUUAUAAGUAUAUGUGUGUUUAUGAAAAGUAUGUUCAACCUUAUGUUAAUUAUAGGUAUAUGAUUGGAAGCUCGUGUAUAAAUGAUUAGUCAUGACAAAAAUGAUUUGAGAUUUGUGAAUGUAUUAGUAAUGUUUAUAUAGGUUUAUAUUCGGCCUUGAUAAAUUGCUUAUGAAAUUAUAUGUUAUAUAUAUUUGCUUAAGGCUUACUAAGCUAAGGUAGCUUACUUUGUAUAUUUAAUUGUCAUUGUUUUUUUUAGAUUUUGGAGGUCGUUACGUGCUCGGGGAUUGUCACUGAAGUCAUUCAGAUUGUCGUCUGCUUUAAUUACUUUUAAAAGUUUUAUUUCGAACUUAUGGCAUGUAUAGGCUAAUAUGUAUUUUGGUCUGAUUUUGGACAUGUAUAUCAUAAGCCAUGUGAAAAUAGCUUGUUCAUUUUGUAAAUCUUGAAAUUUAUGCCUUUGCUUGAUGAUUUUGUAUGGUUAUGGUUGGUUGAUUAGGUUUCGAUAUAUAUAUAUCUUGUGUCUAGUAAUAUGUUAAAUUGGUUAAUGGUGUGUUUUGAUUAAAGAUUGGAUGUGAGUAGUGAAUAUACUUGGUUAAUAUUCGGUUAUGUUUUGUAUUUAUAUAUGUGAGUUUUGUGGGUAUAUUUUGCUAAGAAUUAUUUAUAUUUUUUUUGGUAUUGAUGUUCUUAUUAUAAACAUGUAAGGUUGUUUAAUUCAUUUGUGAUUUGGCUAUUUGGUUUUGGGUUGUGAUGGAAAGUUUAUAUAUAUGUUAUGUUUAAAUAUUAGGUGUUUAUGUUUAGUUUAAUAUGACUUAUUUUAUAAGUAACAUGUUCUAUAAUUAUUUUGAUGGUUCGAUUAAGCUUUGCAUUAUUAUAUGAAACACAUUUCAUUUAGAUUUAUUAAAAUUGUUUGUGCUUAGCCGAAUAGAAAAUUUUGGGAUUAGUCUUAAUAUGACGUUUGAUACAUUGCAAAUUAUGAGAGAUUAGCAUGUUUAAUUCGGUUGGAAAAUUUCAAUGUAUUAGCCAAAUGGUUGCUAAGUUAUUUGCUCGAAUGCAUAGUUUUGAUGAGUUUAAUAUGAUAUGAAUUUUUUGCAUAAUAUACGAAUUGACUUUAUACAAAAUUAUAUGCAUGUUUAUGUUUGGGUGAGAAUUUGGUAAAGCACCAAAUGAAUAAUGUUUGGUUCAAAUAUGCAUAAUUGUUUGCAUGCAAAGUUGGCUUGUGCGCAUAAUGGUAUACUUUUGAGAAAUAUAGUAAUUCAUGCAAUAAGAAAAUAAAAGAGUUAUAUGCGAAUUAGGUAAAUUUUGGGUUGUCAUUGUUUGAAUUGAUUUUCGUUUUAAAUAAAUCCCUUGGUUUAAUUUUUGUUAACUGAAUGGAUGUUUUACAAAAAGGUAAUAUAUGCAUAUUUUGUAUGCUAAAUUGGUUAGUCCUUUUGGUUUAUAAAUCAAUGUGAUCAUAAGUUGAACAAGCUAGAUAUGUCGAAUAUAGUAUGGUCAAAUGAUAGGUGCAUUGAAUUAUUAGAUUUAUGUGAUUCAUGAAUGGAUUAAUAGAAUGAGAUAAUUUUAUUAUCAUAGUUGUGCGAACAUGCUUGUGGGAUAUAUUUGAUUUUGGUGCUUAUGAUUUAACUCGCUACUUAUAUAUUAGUUAUAUGUUAAAAAAAAGAUUUGUAAGUGAUUAUUUAACUGUAUUAUUUAAAGUUGAUUUACUCAAGAGAAUCAAACAUGUGUACAUGUAUAAUUGUUUAGAAGUUGUGAUUUGUUUGGUAAUGCCUCGUAACCCCUUUCCAGUGAUGGAUACGAGUUAGGGGUGUUACAGCAAGGAUCAUAUGGUUGACACACACGCACGUCCGUGUCUAAGGCCAUGUUGACAUUCGGAGUAGGGACACACGGCUGUGUCCCAGCCCGUGUUCGUGCUUGUGUAAAUCUUUGACUUGGGUCACACGACCAAGCCACACGUCCAUGUGUCAGGCCGUGUAACUCUUGAAAUGGCCUCACACGCCUGUGUAUUAGGCCGUGUGGACAAGAAAAAGGUCAUUUCAAAGCAAAUUCUCUCAUCCAAAACAAGCUCACCUGUACAAGCCAUUUGCACCUAUAUUCAAGAGUUCAACAUGUACCUAAAACAUGCAUAAUCAUGCGAAAUCAAUAUGGUAUUUGUCCAUACAACCAAUAUGCCUAAAAGGCACAUCAAUCAUAAUAACAAAACAUGUUUAAACAUUUGCAUAAUCUAGCCAUUAACCAACCAUACAUUUCUCAUCUAAUUUCUUUACCAAACUUACCACCAUGACCACAUGCCAAAAUCAUACUCAAACAUACCAAAAUGGUCACUAAAACACACAUCAACUUAACCAUUCCAACAUUAACCCUAAAAGCACCAAAAUGCCAAAAUAUCAUCAAUAAUAAAACCACUUAUAUACAUACCAACAUGACAACUAGUUCAUCAACCAAAAUACCAUAUUUACAAGCCAAACAUAAUGGCCACUUCAUUAAGCACAAAACACCUAUACAUGCCAUUACAACCAAAACUUAAAAACAUCAAAAUCUACAGAUAAAGUUGAUGGAUAGUGUGAUAAGUCUCCGACAAGCUUCCAACCCGAACGAGCUUUUGAUUAACUAUAAAACAAGAAGAAGAACACAAAGUAAGCAUAUAAUGCUUAAUAAGUUCCUAAAUCAUAAAUAAUGCUUACCAUUUCAAUGCAUAAGCUUAUAAAUAACUUUGAAUUAAUCCAACAUAUCUUGGCACAAGCCUAGGCAUCAUUAAAUACACAAGUUAGUGAUUAAACACAUAACUUAGCAAAAAUCACCACUUGGUAAAAUAGCUUUCAUGAAUAUAACAUCAAAUCAUUAAUACUUUUCAUGAGCAUAGCUAUACACACUUUGAUCAUCAACAUUUCAUACGUUUCCAUACCUUCAUGACACUGCAAAUCAGAACACAUACAGCUCCUUCCCUUUAUAUGUCUGUUGAACCAUUUAGAAUAAUAUAGGAUACACGAGAAUGUCACAAAUGUGUGCUAACAUAUGGUCGAAACCAUUUCUUUCUUUUUUCCUUUACGUAGAUGCUCUCUCUCGAGCCAUAAGUGGGUCUGUUCACAUAAGUUGUCGGUCAAAACGUAGCUACACAGUGCUGCUCAUACAAGUUGUCAAGUAUUCGUAACACAUGCCGGAACUCAGCCACCGGUAGGACAUUCAGGACCAGCACUCAAAACAUGGUAACCCUAAUGACAUGUCAUUUGUAUCCUAUAUAUUCUUAAGGUUCAAAAGGGGCUCGAUAGUCCUCCAAACAUUGUUGGAUUUUUCAUCAAGACAUAAUAUGAUAAUAUAACAUAAUAGCAUUUAAAUCAAACACAUUUAAAUGCUACUUAAACAUACGAACUUACCUCCAUCACAAACAAAGAAAUAUGAUCAACUAGUCCGACACUUUUUCUUUCCCCCUAUCUAAAUUCGUACGAUGCUUAACUUGAUCUAAAUAAUCAAAUUCAAUUCAUUCAAUAAUCAUUCUAUUCUACUCAAUCCAAAAAUCAUAUUUUGCAAAAUUAUGAUUUUCCCCUAAUAUUUUUAUUUCUAUACAAUUUAGUCCUUAAGCUCGUAAAUUAAAAUUCAUGCAAUUUCAUCCUUACCCAAGCUAGCCGAAUUUCAUGUACAGCCAUAGCAACUCAUACAUUUCAUUAUUUUUCACAAUUUCACCGUGCAUUUUUACAAAAUUACAAAUAAAUCCUUAGUUGACAUUUUCAACCAAAAUCACUUUACAAAAGUUGUUUAUAAAUCAACAAGGAUUCAUUUUCUUCCAUCAAACUUCACAAACAACAUGAAUACAUUCAUGGCAAAACUCUGAUCUUUUAACAGUUUUGCAAAUUAGUUCUUGGGCUAGCUAGAUUAAAGUACAAUGACUCUAAAAACAUAAAAAUAAUUAAAAACGAGAUGAAAAAUACUCACAUGCAAGCUAGGAGAGAUGACCAAAUGCUUAAGCUUCUCGAAUGGAUUUUCUUAGGUUAAUUUUCAAUGGUAGAUGAGAAUAGGAAGAUGAUAAAUUGAUUUUUCUUUAGUUUAAUUUACCUUAGUUACUAAAUUACAUAUUUAACCUUUUAAUUAACCUUUAAAAACAACAUAUAUAAUGUCCAUACAAGUCCAUUUAUAAUAUCAAUGGUUUAAUUACAACAUAAACCCUCUAACCAUUAAAUAUCAUAGCUAUUUAACCCCUUUAGCUUAUAAAACUCAAGUUUUGCACAUUUUUCAAAUUAGUCCUUUUGACCAAAUUAAGCAUGCAAAUGCUAAAAUUUCUUAAUGAAAUUUUUAUUCAAUAAUACUAACAUGCUAUAGACAUUAAAAUGAUAAUAAAAUAAAUAUUAACAUGCUAUAGACAUUAAAAUGAUAAUAAAAUAAAUAUUCUCACAUUAGAUUUAUGGUCCCAAAAUCACUGUAAUGAUUUCACUGAAAACGGGUUGUUAGAACGACGAACUGAUCCAAAUACGAUUAAAAUACUCGGGUCAUCAAAUCCAUAAACGCAACCGGAACAUUUGUCAAAAUGAAAGGCUUGACUAGGAACUCAUAAUGCCCAUAAAAAGUCCUAAAAGUAGUUUUAUACACAUCAGUCUCCUUAACCUUGAGCUGAUGGUACCUAAAACGGAGAUUGAUUUUAGAGAAUACAGAUGCCCCACGAAACUAAUCAAACAGAUCAUCGAUUCUCGGAAGCGGAUACCUGUUCUUUACCGUCAACUGAUUUAGUUGAUGAUAGUCCACACACAUCCUUAUUGUGCCAUCCAUUUUCUUAACAAAUAGAACCAGUGCUCCCCACAGGGACACACUCGGUCGGAUGAACCCUCAAUCGAGAAGUUCUUGAAGCUGGGCUUUUAACUCCAUAAGCUCUUGUGGUGCCAUUCGAUAAGGGGCAAUAGACACUAGAGAAAUACCUAGUAACAGUUCAAUACUGAACUCAACCUCCCUGUCUGGAGGUAUACCCAGGAACUUAUAGGGAAAACAUCCGGAAAGUCCCUUACCGUACGAAUGUCUUUAACAGAGAGCUUUACAAUUCCAAAUCAGAAACAAAAGCUAUGUAUGCCUCACAACCUUUUCGAACUAACUUUUCAGCUACAAGGGCGGAGAUUACAUUAGAGUGGUAAUCUCGACUCUCACUGAUCAUAAUAAUCUCAAUAUUCUAAUCUGAUAUCAGAGUAACCCUUUUAAAGGCGUAAUUUAAACUGGCUCGAUGUUCCACGAGCUAGUCCAUUCCCAGAAUCAAAUCAAACACUCCAAAUGGCAGUUCCAUCAGGUUAGCUGGGAACACAACACCCUAAAUUUCUAACAGAACUUAUCUAUACACCUUAUCAACUCAUAUCGAUUGACCCAAAUGACUAAUCAUAGAAAUCUCCCUAGAAGUAUUCUUAACAGAUACACCCAGUUUCACAGAAACGUUGGUAGCUAUAUACAAAUGAGUAGACCCAAUAUCUAUCAAAGCAAAGUAUAGGACAGAAGGAAUAAAAGACAUACCCGUGAUAAUGUCAGUGUCGUCUCUGUCCUCAUAGCCUCGCAGUGCAGACUAUUGUGCCUCAGUCUGACCCGCACCUCUGCUUGGUUUAUCUGACCUCAGCCAGAACCAUUACCAUCCCUAAUCAUGCCACGACCCCUAGGUGGCUGCUGAGCUACCCUUGGUGGCUGAAUGUGUUAGAUUAUGCCUAAAGAUCAAUCAUGAGAUGGUUGUAAUAACAUACUUGAUUUAUCAUGUUUAUUAAUAUAAGGCGUUACCAUUAUUAUUUCAGUUUCUUUUCUGUGUGCAUAAAUAAACUAUUUUAUAGUAAUGUCUUGAGAAUAAUAUGAUUAUUCUUAAAAGGUCCUUAGUCAAGUAUUAUUGUUGGCUAGGACAACAAUAAUGCAUUAAGACUAACAUGUAGUUCAUUGAUGAUAAAGAGUUGUCAUUGAUAUGGAAUGCAUUAAAACUAACAUGAAUAUGUGUGUUAGAGAACAACAUAUUGGACUGACCUGUUAUGAGUAUGUUUCUUAGAUUAUUAUGUAAUUGUCACAAAAUUACUCAUAGUGAUUAAUAUGUAUAUGAUCCUCAGACUUGAGAUCAUCAUAAUCCCAACAUCGUGAGUUGUGUAUUUUGAUAUAGUCAAACGUACACCGUAAUUGGUUGUUCUAUAAAGGCUGAUGUUGGAUAUACAACAAUCUAUGUAGAGGGAUAUGGUUGAUCGAUAUAGGAUAAGUCCCUCCUACAUAAUGGGAGUAAUAUCUUAGGCCACUUGAUUGAGUGAGACUAGAAAUGCAUGACCAUGCUCAAAUAAGCUGAUAUGAGAUGUCAUACUUAUUUGUAUAUCAUAGUCUACUUAAGAUAUCAAGGAACAUGGAAUGGACUAUGCAAAUGUGACUAUUCCAUGACUUGUGUCCAAUUUAGAGAUAAAGGACCUAAGGAUUAUUGCAUGAAAGGUUAAUCACAAAAGGUUAUGUCGAAUCAUGAUUUCUUGUGACUUAGGUAGCAAUGAUGCAUUGCUAGGUGCCACUCAUUGUUUGUAACAUUGGAAUCAUUCUAGUAUUACUGCUAACGUUACAAGAAUGUACAGGGUCACACCCUAGAGUUGAAAAGAACGGAAUAAAACAUAGUUGGUAUUGUGUUUGGUUAUCGCUUGAAUUAAAUUAAUUAUAGAAUUAAUUUAAUUGGGUAGUCAAAUAUCGAACACAUUAUAUGUACAAAGUUGUUGUACUCAUAAUGAACAUGAAUUUGGUUAGUAUAUAAAUUCAAAUAAAUAUAUAGUUUAUCGAAAUCAUUAUUAUAAUUAAUGUAAUUAUAAUUUUUGGUUUAAAAAAUAUUGAUAUAUUUAUUUAAUUUUAAGAAACCCUAAAAAGGGAUAUAAAAUCUCGUUUUUCUUUGCUUGGUGGGUCUAGUAGCCGUCAAAGCAAAAUCUUCUCAAAACAGUUUUUUGGGAUUCUUUCCGUUUAUUUUCAACAGGGUGGAUUACGUAGAGGCCAGUGUCACGAUCGAUUGCAGCUAGAUUCGAUAGCAGAUUAGAUUACUCGUUGUUGAGGCAUCGCUGUCUACUCAGAAUCAUCAUUCGGUAAUUUUGAAACCCUUUUUCACCCCGAUUCGUUCCUCACACAUGGAUCCAUGGUUAGGAUCACCGGACGUUUUAUUUUUUCCCUACGCCGUAGGGGUGAUGACGUUCCAACAGAAUGGGACCUAAAGACGGAGUCAGUGUAGAAUCUUCCACCUCAUUAGAUCAUUGGGGACAAUUCUGAACAUGGUGCUCCAUCAAUCCACACCUAAGACAAACCCCCGACUUCCCCCAACACUCGCUCGGAUGACGUCUCCCAUAGUCACUAUAGUUCUGAAUCUCAGUCGCUACAGCUGGUGCUUUAGUCCUUAGAGGCACAUCAAAUCUAGCUCGUUUCUUAGUGGCACUGAGGAAAACUAGAGAGACCCAAAUCCCUCUUAAGCUUACUCUGACCUCUCUCUUAGUCUCUCCUCUCGCGCUCAAUGCGCUUCACCUUCUCGGCUGUCUUCACCUUGUCAAUUAAGGCUGGAAAAAUUGCUUCUUCUGAAAAGCUAACAAUAAUCUUAAGUCAUACCUUAAUCUCUCAUCGAAUCAAAUACUCCUCUUAUAGUCGUUUGGAACCAAAUUGCGAACAUACCCAUUCAAUCUCAGAAGCUCGGUGAUAACUCUUGAAAAUAGUUAUAUUUCAUGCCUUUAAACCUAGCUAAUUUCUUGUACUUAGAUACACAUAGUUGCAUUUUAGGACAUUUUAUUCGUAUUUUCAUCAUUUCAUUAGGAGCUUGCACUGUGUUUAAAUAUUAAGUACUUUUAAUUUCUUGCGGCAGGGUUGUGUUUGGUGGUUUGGCAGGUGUAGGUUGAGGAACGAGAAAUAAAGGAGUGAAAUCUUGUCGGGGCAAAAGGAUGGACAUUUUGUCAGCAUGAAUGCUAUGACAAUUCUAGGAAGACCGAGUCAACACUCAACACAUACUAUUUUCAGCCCAACUGUACCUGUACUAGAAAAAUCUGACUAAAACAGAGGAGAAAAUAAUCCUGGGAUGUUGGUUUUUAUCCUAGAAAAAAAGAAUUUAAAAAAGGAG
rnacentral:lncRNA from 1 species